GCCUCCAGACAGAACCCGGAACCUGAUACCAGCGAGGCUAAGACCGAGCUCGGCUCCCCGGCUCCUGAGAGAAUGAAAGUCAAGAAGCACGAAUCUGAGACGCUCAAAAUUAGAAGAAAAAAAAAAUACAUAAUUUAAAAUAAUGAAAGUCUGAAAUGCAAGUAAAAAUGAAAAACACAUCGGUAACAUUGUCCUCAGAGCAAGACACAAAAAUAAUUUUAAGGCUGGUGCAGUGGUGUCAUCUUGGCUCAGUGCAGCCUCGACUUCCUGGGAUCCAGCGAUCCUCCCGCUUCAGCCUCUAGAGUAGCCGAGACCACAGGAACAGAAACAACACACUCAGACUUGAGAAACUGGUCUGGUUUAAAAGGGUUCCUGGCCUUACAGGUGGGUAAGAAAUGUCACUUCCUGGCAGGCUGAGGAACAUCAGGAUAUUUGGAGGACCUUGACAAGGGAAGAAUUCACCGAAAUCUAUAGGUAUUCCAGGCAAAGUGUGAUAGCAAGAUCCUGGUAUGGUUUCCUAGCCUUGAGAGGCUUUUAAAAGUCUAAUUUGAGAUUCCUUAUUAAAAGAUCCAGAAAAGCCAACUUAAAGAGACCCUGUGUGGUAAAACACUAUUCCUGCUGCACUUGUGUAAAUAUUAGGCCAACUUUAAAGACACUAAAUUUAUUUUGCAAACAGAUUACUCUUACUAAUACUUUGAUGAUGUUUGAUAAAAAGGGAGUAAGUAUAGAGAAAAAACUUUCAGAGAAAAAAAUAUAGUGCACCUGUUAUUAGACUCUAGCUCAUUGUUUUUGAGGUUUUUUCGUCUACCUGAAAUCUAGACUGGAUCUUGAAUUUUUUGUUUCCUGUAAUAUCUGGCAAUGGGCUGGGUGUCAGAGCUCGCAACUGCAAUCCCAGCACUUUGGGAGGUCGAGGUGGGAGGAUUGCUGAAGCCCAAGACUUCGAGACCAGCCUGGGCAAAAGGCGAAACACCGUCUCUACAAAAAGUUCAAAAAUUUGCUGGGCAUGGAGGCAUGCGCCUGUGGUUGCAGCUGCUUGGAAGGUGGAGGUGGAAGGAUUGCUUGAGCCAAGGAGGUUGAGGCUGCAGUAAGCCUUGUUUGUGCCACUGCACUCCAGCCUCAAUUACAAAGCAAGGACCCCAUCUCAAAAAAAAAAAAAAAA
rnacentral:lncRNA from 10 species